rnacentral:rRNA from 1 species
UACGUAGGGUGCGAGCGUUAAUCGGAAUUACUGGGCGUAAAGCGUGCGCAGGCGGUGAUGUAUGACAGAUGUUAAAUCCCCGGGCUUAACCUGGGAACUGCAUUUGUGACUGCAUCGCUGGAGUGCGGCAGAGGGGGAUGGAAUUCCGCGUGUAGCAGUGAAAUGCGUAGAUAUGCGGAGGAACACCGAUGGCGAAGGCAAUCCCCUGGGCCUGCACUGACGCUCAUGCACGAAAGCGUGGGGAGCAAACAGG